GUUUACUUGUUUUGGUCCUUCAAGAGACUUCUGCAUAUACACACCCUUCACAUGUGUUACUGUCAAUGAUACAAUGUUCACUGCAUUAUUUCUUAAGAUACUCUACUGUUCUCACCUCAUGACCACUGUAUCAUAUUAGCAGAGCUUUCCCACUAUAUAUUUAUUCUAGAGCACUACUGAUAUUAGAAGUCUUGCAGCUCUUAGAGGCUGCCAAACAUCUCUCUGCUGGAGGCCUGGCUUCCUCACUUCUAGAAAUAACACGUCCUUCGUAAUUUCGGAACACUCACUGGAGAUGAGCUAUUUCAUAGUAACCCUCUGCUCUACCCCAUGGCAAACAUGCUAGCUAUCCUUUGAGUAAGGUCGGUUGUAAAGCCUCUCCUUCACCCUGGAUUAAGAGCACUCGCAUGAUAUUUAGAGGCCAACAGACUGCGAUGCCAUGUUGUGCAGCCAUGUAGCCCACCUGUCUCUUCUCCCAGAUGAGCCCCUGGCUCGUGCAAGCUGCCCAUAGAGCGGUUCACAUCCCCCUCUCUCAGGGCACCUCUCCAACAUUGGCAGGCCCAGGCCACCCGUUUCCCCAUUGCCCCAUUCUGCAGGUGCUGGAGGCGUGUGGGGCUCCAGCCGCAGCCCUCAGAGCCAGACCUGGAGCUACGUGAGGCACUGAGGCAUGUGCCACAUGGCCACCACCACCCUGCUUCCCUUUGCUUUGCCCUAUGCAAUGGCUGCUGGGUUGGGUGGCAGAUGCCUGAGGUGAACCCCUGGGGAUAUAGUUGGGCGUGCUGUCCGUCCAUCCACCCAUCCAUCUUUCCGUCCGUCCGUCCGUCUGUCCAUCCAUCCAUCCGUCCGUCCGUCCGUCCGUCCGUCCCCGGGCCGCCUCUCCGCGGAUCAGCCAGCAAGGGGCGCUGGGCGGCGGGUUUGCGGGGCGGCGGGUUUGCGGGCUGCGGAUCACCUGCAGCAGCGGGGGGGCCGGGAGCUCCGCCCUCCCCCCCCCGCCGUUAAUCGCAUCCCCCUCCCCCUGUGCCAGGCACUGGCACUGAGGCGGCCGAGCCGCUCCGAGCCGUGCCGAGCCUCGCCAACCUGCUGCAGGCGGGCGGGCACCCGCACCCCGCUCGCAGCCGGGGCCGGGCUGGGGCUGCCGCCUCCGCCAUCCCCGCACUUGCCCCAGCCCGGUAGGGCGGCCAGCCUUCGGCCGCCUCCUCCUCCUCCUCACCGGCAGCCACCGCCGCCGCCCGGCAGAAAGACAGAGCGGGGGAGCCAUGGCCGAGGGGGGCGAGGGCGAGGACGAGAUCCAGUUCCUGCGAACUCCCGCUCCGCAGCAAGGUUUCCGCUAACUUGCGGAGCGCCCUCCUCGCUGAGCACGGACUAA
rnacentral:lncRNA from 1 species